GAACUUAGCAUCAUGUGGUCAGAGAACAGAGGCGACCCCAGAGGCCAGGGCUUCUUCCGGCUGGGGGAGGCCUCUCCUUCACCCCAGCUAUUAUGGAACUUGGGAGAAGGGCUGGGGCCCUUGGCCACCCAGCAGGUUGAGCCCUGCACAGGGCAGUGUCCCUAGAUCUCAGGGAUGGAACUGGAGAAUGGGCAGGCAGGGAAGGGGCUCUCUGAUGCACUGUCUCUGUAGACACUCCCCCCGUUCUCCGUGAGCUCCUCGGUGGUAGGGGCUCCCUGGCCAUCACCUGGGCUGGCUCCUUUCAUACCCAUCCUUCUGGGCAUUGAGGCUGGCCCACCUUUGUGUUGUGACCCUGGAGGGCUCCCAGGGGCCCACCUGAGCGAUGGUUGGGGUGGGGUGGCCACACUCCCUGGGAGUCCUGACGUUGAGAUGUAGCCCUGCACGUCUAGCCAGGGACCGGAGGCAGAGUGUCCUGGGGCGCUGUGUUCUUUCACCUGCUCGGGCCUGCCCGCGGGACGUGUAAGGUGCAGAGUCCUGGGCCGUGACCCAGACCUUCAGACAGCUGCACGGGGAGCUCCUGGCAGUUCUCACUGUAGAGAGGGAAGAACCACUCCUGGGUUUCCGAAGCCUUUGGAGUCCAGGAUAUAGAACAAAAAGCAUUAGCGUGUUGGGUGCUCGUGUCUGAAACUUGCACCAUUGCCCCAGGACUCAGGGGGUACCACGUAAUGGUAAGUUCUCAUUGCUUCUGGAGAUGACACCUGUUUGAACAGGAUGGCCAAGUCCUCAAGGCCUCUGAGCCCCUGGGAGGGUGGGGACCUGCCCCUGGGGACCCUGGGUUCAGGUGGAUUCUUGGCUGUUCACCCUGAGCUGGGGAGCCUGGCUAGGUGAUUGUGGGUUGCCCUGGCAUCCAGGGAGUGUACCUGGGAGUGGGGGAGUGAACUUGAGGGGGUCCUGGGGCAGGGAUGGGGUCCCUGGGGGUGCACCCGAGGUUGGGUGGUUCUCCCUGUGGCCCUGGGCCCCCCAUGUGUAUGAGCUCCUGGUGGGUUUGGAGGAGGGAAUACCAGUCUGUCUGCUGAAGCCAUUUGGUCUGUGCGCCCUGCGGCGGUUUUCCGGGGGUGGGGGGAGUCGCAGCUCUGCUUCCUGGCCGACCGUUUCAUUUGGCCCCUUGGGAACGUUGAGGGGCCAGCCCAGGACCUUGUAACUCCUGGGACCACCACCGUCCCCGCCUUUGAAACUCUCAAAUUCUUGCAGCUGCCCCUCGCCCCUGCCAUCGCACGUAGCCCCUACAGACCCUCCAGCCUGGCUUCGGAGGGGUUCACUGCUGUCCCCCUGGUUUUCCCUGUGUCACAGAAAUAAGCAUGGGUGCGUGGAAGGCGGGGACAGGCCUGCUCACGAGGCCACAGUUCACUUUGCUGAGGCUCUGUGCUUCCUGUGGGUGGGGUCUCUGCAGUGACCUGGCUCUUCUGCGGCUCAUCCUGGGAGGAGUGUGGGAGCACUUCCUGCUUGGAUGGUCUCUGGGCUGCAUGUGCUGGGAGUCUGGUGGCUUUUCCUCAGGGUCCCUGGACCACCCCCCACAAGGCUGGUUUCACAUCUUGGGAACUUGUUGCGCCCGCUGGGAACUGGAGGGGGUCCCCGCCCGGAUCCACACCCUCUACGCACUCUCCUUGAAAGGCCAGGCUGCGCAGGAGCAGAGUUCUCCCGCCGUCUGUCAGCCCCGCCACCCUCUGCACCCAGGGCAUCCCUACCCGGCCUGAGCCACGGGGCUCCUUAGCGUGGCUCCUUAGCACCCGUGUCCUCCCCACCCUCCCACGAUGCCUGCCUCCCGGGCUUCCUGCUUAUUUAAAAAGAAGGGUAUAUCAGUGCCUUAAAUGGAGAGCCAGUGUCACUUGACUUAUAGAAACAUAGUAACAAAGGGAAACAGCCGCAAACCGAAACCGGAAACUGGAGUGGGUCUGACCCCCUGCUGCUCUCUGCUGGAGUAGGCUUAGCCGGUUUGGGAAGCUGCUGUUCACACCUGGGCCAAACAAACCCUAAGUGCCCCCCCGGGUGCGGCUGCCCUUGGGGGACACCUGGCAGCCCACGCUCCUCCUGCCGCCUCUCAAGGCUCUAGGGUCAUUAGGCUGAAGGCCUCUGUCCCAUGUGGUCCCUUCCUGUCACCUUGUCACCCUCUCCUCCAGAGGCUCCUGCUUCUCCCUUUGCCCUCCUUGCCCACAGUCAGUGUCACCGCCAGGCUUGUCUGCCCCGUCCUCCGGUGUUGUGCACGGAGCCCCCCCACCAGCGACGGGACGGCGCCCCCAGGCUGCAGCUCGCUGACUGUGGCCAGGAACAGCCUCCUCUCCUGCAGGGCUGUGGGCGGCCUGGACAGCAAGCAUGGUGCCCUCCGGCCAGGUGGCGGAGAAGCAGGAGCCCCCGGAGCUUGGGCAGCACCCUGAGCUCAAAUCCUGGAGGUGCCUGGUGUUCUACCUGUGUUUCUAUGGCUUCAUGGCACAGAUGCGGCCCGGGGAGAGCUUCAUCACCCCCUACCUCCUGGGCACCGAUAAGAACUUCACGCAGGAGCAGGUCACCAACGAGAUCACGCCGGUGCUGUCCUACUCCUACCUGGCGGUGCUGGUGCCCGUCUUCCUGCUCACCGACUACCUGCGCUACAAGCCGGUGCUGGUGCUGCAGGGCCUGAGCUACAUCUCCGUGUGGCUGCUGCUGCUGCUGGGCGACUCCGUGCUGCACAUGCAGUUCAUGGAGCUCUUCUACAGCCUCACCAUGGCCGCCCGCAUCGCCUACUCCUCCUACGUCUUCUCGCUCGUGUGCCCGGCCCGCUACCAGCGCAUGGCCGGCUACUCGCGCACGGCCGUGCUGCUGGGCGUCUUCGCCAGCUCCGUGCUGGGCCAGCUGCUGGUCACCGUGGGCCGGGUCCCCUUCUCCACGGUCAACUACGUCUCCCUGGGCUUCCUCACCUUCAGCCUGGUCCUCGCCCUCUUCCUGAAGCGCCCCAAGCGCAGCCUCUUCUUCAACCGCGCCGCCCCCGCGCGCCACGGGGCCUCGCCCUCCGAGCUGGACCGCAUGAACCCGGCCCCCUCCCAGCCCGCAGACGCCAAGCCGGGCCGGGCGCCGCUGGGGGCCUGGCGGGACUGGACCCUGGUGCGCAUGUUCCGGGAGCUGGGGGACCACCUGCGGCUGCCGCAGCUGCGCCUCUGGUCCCUCUGGUGGGUCUUCAACUCGGCCGCCUACUACCUGAUCGUCUACUACGUGCACAUCCUGUGGAACGUGGUCCACCCCACCACGGACACCUCCUCCGUCUACAACGGGGGGGCGGACGCCGCGUCCACCCUGCUCGGUGCCAUCACCUCCUUCUCCGCGGGCUUCGUGAAGAUCCGCUGGGCGCUGUGGGCGAAGCUGGUCAUCGCGGGCGUGACGGCAGUGCAGGCUGCGUUGGUCUUCCUCAUGUACAGCACGAGCAGCAUCUGGCUGUGCUACGUGGCCUUUGUGCUCUUCCGUGGCGCCUACCAGUUCCUGGUGCCCAUCGCCACAGCUCUGUGCCCUGGUGUUCGGAGUCAACACAUUCUUCGCCACCGUCCUCAAGACCAUCGUCAUCCUCAUCGUUGCCGACAAGCGGUGUCUGGGCCUCCCGGUGCGCUCGCAGUUCCUCGUCUACUUCGUGUACUUCCUAGUGCUGUUCAUUGUCUACCUCUCGGCGGCCAUGCUGGUGAUCCUGCGGCACCUCCGGGAGGGCCGUCACCCGCCCCCAGCCCUGCCCCCGCCCCAGGAGGAGAAGGCCGAGCAGGUGCUGAGCCUGCAGGACAGAGGCCUCAGUGGCCCGAAGCCGGAAGCCCCCCCGCCGGCCCUGGAGGACAGCGUGUGGACGGCAGGGUUGGCCCCUCGGGAACAGAACCAGCAGCCCGAGGCCAAAGCCUGACCCAGCCCGGCCUAGCGGGAGGCCAGGCUCCUCUGGCACCGGGGGCAGCCCGUGUGCCGUGCUCCACGUCCUGGGGCCUCGAUGUCUCGGAAGGGAUGUCUCUUCGCAGCUGGCCCAGGACCCGGGUUCCGGCACGGCCCACAUUCCAGUGUUCGCGUUGUGGAGCCAGGGACUGACGGGGACCCUAGGUGGGAUAUCCCUGUGACCCACACCCCAAGGGCUUGUCUGGCGGUGGCCCUGAGGACUGGUUCUCGUCCCCAUCCCGCUGCCUGCUGGGGCACUGCGGGCUGGCUUGCUGUCCCCGUGGCGGGGAGGGGGGUCUCAUGUGCCCACCAGGCCACUCUGCCUUCACCCCGCCCCCCACAAGAGGCAGGUCCUGCUUGUUCCUGGGGACCAGUGAGGGGGCCAAGAUGCCAGCCUCAGGGACUCAGUCCCCCACAGGGUAUCCUGUGCCCUGCGGGGCCAGGCCGGGAUCCCUGAUUCCCGUAGCCUGUGGCUAAACUUGGUAAGGCCAGUUGUCCAGGUACUUGCUUUAGACUAUGUCCCUUUCCUAAAGAAAGUUGACCCAAAUGAGAAGCCUCAGUGGGCUUCUCUUUCCAGGUGAGACGCCAGGCAUUGGCCGCUGGCAGACAUUUGCCCGUCAGGUGGAAGCAGGGACGCAGGGGCCCUGGAGCCUCGCUUCUCCCCCAGCGGGCUAACCCUGACCUACCUCACUGGUGACUGCAGACCGCUUGGGGUCACUCGCCCACGUGCCGGCCCACGCGGGACCCACCCUGAGCACACCGCCUCAGAUGCAAGACCGUCGGCUCUCCCCAAAAUCGAACCACAAGCCCCACACGUGGAGGGGCUCCUGGUCUUGUACUGACCUGGCGUGGGUGGGGGUGGCUGGUCAGGAGGCCAAGAAGAGGGCCCCGGCCCCAGGCAGGAACCCAAACCAGGCCCCCACGGCCUCGAGCUGAGCACAGCCCUCUCCUACAGCCCUGUCUUGAGAAGCGCCCACGCCCCGCGGGAAGGGAAGGCCAGCUGCUCGGAGCCAGCUUGGUGCAGAGAGGUUGGAGCAGCCCUCCUGGAGAGGAGCUGUCUGCACCCAGGGAUCCCUGAGGUCCGCUUGUCGGGGGCAGGGUGUCUCAAGAGGCUGCCCUGAAGCUGCAGGAGGAUGCUGGGGGGCGGGGCAUCCACAGGGGGCCUCCCCACUGACUCCCCACCCCACCCACCCCAUGCCCCAGGGACCCCGUGGGGAGGGGCAGUGCUCUUCCCCUUCCAUGCUCAGGAAUCCUGCGGGACUUGGUGGGUGGAGGGCAGUGCCUCUCACCGCUGGUCACUGACCUUAUGAUGCAGGCCUUUGCUCUUGCCCCCACCCUGACCUGCGAAUGCUCCCAUUGGUGGGUGGCCCAGCCACCUGGCCCCAUGGUGGGUUCCGCGUGCUGCAGCAGCUCUGGGGAGAACAUGGGUGCUGGGUCUACACCCCGGCUUGCCUGUGCGGACUGCCGGCCAUCCCCAGGGACGCUCCGGAGACAUGGUUUAGGGCACCAGCAUCCCCGUGCACGUGUGUGCAUCUGACAUCCGUGUACAUCUAGCCACGCCCACCUGUGCCCCUUCAGCGGGACCCACCAGCAGGACAAAGACCCCCACGGUCUGUCUCACGGUAACGAAGGCUGCUUCCAAACCGAGUGUCCGUGCAAAACGCUGUUUUUUAUUUGGAGGCUGUUUGGAAACCACAUUACACAGUUAGCAGGACCGGCUGCCGUGGUUUACAGGGCAGUGUUGAGACAGCAGACCUGAGGUGCUUGGCUCCGUGCCCACGACCCAGCACAGCCACCAGGGGGGAGGGACCCUGGGGGUGCCCCCAGAAUGCCCCCUUCAGAGUGCUUUGUCUACACGGCCUCGGGUCCCAGGGCUCGGCAAGGCCGGUCUCAGGUGAGCCGUGUCCUGGCUGAGGACAGGUGUCGCGAUCCUGUUUGCCCCUGUGCCUUGUUUUAAGUAAGCUUCGUGCCCAGCGUGAAGCCCAACAUGGGGCUUGAACCCACAAACCAUAAGAUCAUGAUCUGAGCUGAGAUUGAGUCGGACACUUAACCAACUGAGCCACCCAGGCACCCCUUUCCUCUGUGGUUUUUUGAACUCUGUGUCCCAUGAAGAUAAACCUGGGGCCCUGGACUCAGCAGGCAGGAGUUGUGGCCGGGCACCUGGGAGUGGGAGUAGGUUUGGGCCCAGUUGGGUUCCGGGAUGUGCUCCUGGGCAAGGCUAGGGGAACCUCUGCUCUGGGAAUCCUUGCCUCAGCAAAGGAGUUUUGGACCUGGGCGGGGCCCGGGGACAGGACACUGCCAUCCCUGGGUUGUGGGCCCCUCAACUCCUAGCCUGGGGGCGUCUGGCUGGCUCAGUCAGUAGAGCUCUUGAUGUCAGGGUUGUGAGUUUGAGCCCCACGCUGGGGGUAGAGAUUAAAAAUCUCCCUGCAGGGCCUUGGCUGGAUUGAGCUCCACGUGGGAAGCCGGUGUGGGACAGAACUGAAGACGCACCUGCCCCGUGUGCAGGCUGGCUCCCAGCCACCAGCACAAGGUGGUGUUGGGGUAAAGGCCAUAGCCUGGGGGCAGCAGUGGCCCCUGAGUUUGGGGCUGCCUCUAGCCCAGGGGUGGCUGCGGGAGGCCAAGGAGAAAUGGCCCCACGCUGUGCCCUUGGCCUGAGCUGCCCCAGCAGCUCACAGCUGGGGACCGAGGCCCCACCCGGCCCCUGCCAGGCCCUCUGGCACGCACACCUCCCCAAGUCAAUAUGUUUCUUUGCCUCGGGGGGCGGGGGGUCUCCCUCCAGUUCUGAUUGGGGUCAAAGAGGAAGGGGGCAGGGCCUUGUGCGAGGUGGGGAGGGGCAAGAGAAAGUCUGGGCACCAGGUUUUGUUUUAAACUUUUUAAAAAAUACACUCUUUGGUUUCCUUUUAUUUCUCGGGGGUUACAUGAAACAUGAACCACAGAACCAUACCGGAGAGUGCCAGCCAGGUCCCACCCUGGGGGCGGGCAGGGGCAGACACUCCUUAAGGGCGGCUUCCCUGCUCCCCUGCUGCUGGCCUCCCGGCCUGGCCGUCUGACUGUCCAUCUGCCUGUCUGAGCCGGCAGAGCCCCUACUUGGAGGAGGAGGUCAUGAAGCUGUUCUCGAUGCAGAGCACGAUGAAGGCGUUGCGGCAGCUCGCGGCUUUCUGCGCCAGCAGCCUGCCCGCCAGCAGCGAGGAGGCCUGGCCAGCCGCCGCCGCGUCCUCUGUCCGCCACGUCUCGCAGUAGCUGUCGGUCAGACGGCGCCCGCUGGGGUCCGAGCCGUGCCACACGCUCUUCUGAGGCCUGCGGGAGGCAGCAGCCAUCAGCCGCGGGCCCGAGCCCUGACCCCCGGGAUCUGGACCACUCUGGGCAGGGGAGGGCGUUUCCCCAAGGCCCCAAGGCCCAAGGUGCGGCUGCCUGUGGGGCCGUCCCUGGGGGCUCCACCUCCCAGAACACACCCCCUGCGGCCUCUGCUGGGGAGCCUACCAGGCAGGAUGCUGGAGGACGUCUCUGCCAUCGAAAGAGAAGACGCGGGCCCCGGGCUUCAGCUGGCCCUCGGAGGAGCCGGAGAACAAGGCCUCCCAGCUGGGAAACAGCACCUCAUCCUGGGGAGGGCGGUGUCACGGGACUCACUCCCGCCCCAGGGACGCCCUGCUGCGGGGCCUCCACCCCCAGGUCUGCGGUGAGGCCACUGCCUCUGGCCCCGAGGCGCGCUGGUGCUCCCCAGCUCCCAGGAAGCACUCGGCGGUGGGAGAGAGGCAUGGGGACCACCCCAGAGACGGUUCCCAGCCCCGGCUCGGAGGUGGCUGCGUGCGAGGGCCCGGCCCUGCCCUGCCUCCUGCCCCUGAAGGCGCCCCGUGAGAUGGGGUGGCUGUGGGGGGUUGGGGACCCUGCCGGAGCCCCGCCCCUUGCCCCACGCGGGAGCCCUCACGCACCCGGAGGUUGACGAUGGGCACGCCCGUGCGGUCGGCGCGGCGCACGAUGCUGUAGAGGUCCUGCAGCCGUGAGGACAGGAAGGCGCGGAAAGUGCCCGCCAGCCCCACGGCGCGCGCCUGCUGAAAGCACUGGAAGUCCGCGCCCCGGAUGCCGCGCAUGCCGCCCGGCUGGGGGCUGUUGAGUGCGACCAGGUGGAGCUGUGGAGGGGCCGCGGGGGUCAGCCGCCAGCCCCGGGCCGGCCGAGGGGCCGAGCGUGCACAGAGAGCCCGCGUGACCGGCCCCGGGGGCCCCAAGAGGACCAGCCCAGCCCCUCGGCCUAGGGCAGCAGGGACCGCGGUGGGCUGGGGGCCAGGGGGUCCAGAGUGGCCGCCGUCAGGCCCCCACCCCUGCCCGGCUCCUCGGGCUCUCCCGCUUCUCGAAGGCCCAGAGAGCCCUCCCAUCCCGGCAGCCCUGGGAGUCCGCGGGAGCCGAGGGGCUGGUGGGGCACUCACCACGGGCUGGAAGUCCUGGUGGGCGUGGGUGCGGGCGGGCCCGCCGGUGGGGCGAGCCGGCUGGACGUGCAGGUAGGGGCCGUGGUGGGGGGCGCCAGGGUAGGGCCGGGGGGCCGGCAGGCGCGGGGGGCCGGCCAGGAUGUCAUCCGCCCGCCAGGGCCGCGCCGUGGAGUGGGUGAGCUCCCGCCGGGGGUACGGGUGGCCCUCGUGCAGCUGCACCAGCGGGGGCUGUAGGGCGGCCACCUCGUUGUCCUGCAGACGCAGAGGCAGAGGCGCCGUGGGCGGGGGCUCUGCCCUCCUGUCCGGGCGGCCCUCUCCUCCUGCACCUGCGGCUUGUGCUCUCGUAAGCUGGAGGGGGCGCCCUGCCGGCCUGACGUGCAAAGUGGGCGGCUGGCCCUGCGCUCAGGCACCCCGCCCCGCUCAGGACCACAUUCCCUGACCUUCCAGCCCCCCUCACUGCCACCCAGACACCCAAGUUCUCCGCUCCUUAUGCCCCGUGCGCCCACCUCAGGUGAGCUGCACCGACCCCCCUUCCCAACUGUCCUCCCCCAGCACCCAGUGCCUCUGACACCCCAUGUGCUCUCUGACUAGGCACCUUUCCCUGCUAAGACGAUAAAACCGGUUGUCUAUCGUCUGUCAUCUUUGCCACCUUUCCCCCAGCCCGCGAGCUCCGCGAGGCAGGGGCCUCGUGUGUCCCUCCCUGUCUAAACCAGCGCCUGGCCCGAGACCACACUGAAUGAAGGAAGGAAGGAAGGAACGAGCGAGGGAGGACUCCCUGGGCUCCGUGAGCGGGCGGACUCGCUGGGAGCCCAGGACACACACUACCUAACGCAGCCUCGGUCCCGGGCCCUUUAAGAAGUCCUGGCUUAGAAGAGAGGCAGCAGUGGGAAACCUGAGUAUGUGGGCUCCUCCAUCCCCCGGGCCCCGCGCUCGGAGAGGGGUGGGCAGCGUGGCCCGAAGGGAGGCGGCCUCGUGGUCUGCACACCACCUCCCACGCCCAGCCCCCAGAGCCCCAGGCGUGUCGGGGACGCGAGGCCGUGCUCGGCCUGCCACCGUGGAGCCCCGGCCAGACGUCCCCCGGGCUCCAAGCCCUGAACUCGGCUGCGUCCUUACCGUCCCACGUGGGAGGGGUGUCCGCGCCUCCAGCUGAAAGAAAACGCAGGGGUCACCCCAGCAACCCUGACGCCUGGCACCCCCGCCCCGCCCCAGCGGAAGCUGGCACGGCUACACCCUGGUGCCUGUGCCAUCAGCGGGCGCACAGCACCUCACGUGCAUCGGCUGUAAGAAGUAGGAGUCACUUCUCUGUAAACCCCAAACUGCUCGGAAGGCCCCGAGUUAAAAAAUGAAGAAACGUGAGGAGGGAGCACGGUCACUGCAUGAGGCACUCACCCCACAGGACAACCGAGACCAAGGCUCAGGCUCGCUGUGGGGGGCCCCCUUCCCCCCCACAUGCUCUCCUGAACCCCAAGCAAGCUCGAGAAGGUCUCCCACCCCUUCCCCAUGCAGGUAACUCACCAGGACCUUCCGGAACCCAUUCCGGACCCGGACGUACAGCUCCUCUGUCUCAGCCACAAAGAUGAGCCAGCCCUCCGGAACCUCCGGCACCUUGUCCAGCAUGGUCUGGUACGUGGCCCAGAUCCUUACCUGCUGGAAGCCCGACCCAGUGGGUGCCCUCGCACACAGACAGCGUCUGGGCUCAUGGGGGGUGGGGGGAGGACACUUCCGGAUGAGGGACAGUCCUGAAGGCUUAAGUGUGUUCCUUUCUCGAUCAGGCUGUUCCCUGAGAAUGCUCUGUGGCACCCGGACGGUGAGGCCACCCCAUGGGAGGGCUGGAUGCCAAGUGCCCACGUGGCCGGUGAGCCCUGCUGGGGACCCUUCUUAAUGGCUGUCCUCCCUUGUCCUCCCCUGCCCACCCGAGUCCCACGGCCACCCCCAGGCUCCCCGUUUUCUGCUUUGCAAACCACAUCUCGGCUGCCGUGCAUCUGUGCACGGGGCAGGGCCAGGCCCGGUGCUGGGACCCUCCGGAGCAGGCCACCCACAGGUCUGCAGAGGAGAGGGCGGCCGGGCAGGCGACUGGGCAGCAAGCAUCUGACCGGUAAGGAACACGGGGACCCUUACCCCUGAGGAGGUGCCCAUGGUUCCAGGGGGUCCGGGGGGCCCAGGUGGGCCUGGGGGGCCGGGAACACUGAUCGCUGCAAGAGAAGAGCCAGAGAUGGGAACGCAUGGCCCUGGCUGGACGAGGCCGGAGACCAGGUACCCGCCCCUGCUUGACUUACUCUGCCUGUAAGGGCCGGGGAAGGAAGGGGGCCCUGGGGGCCCGGGGGGGCCGGGGGGGCCAGGAGGCCCCUGACGCCCCUCAUGGCCGAUGCCAGGGGGCCCCUGAGGUCCAGGUGGGCCUGGCUGGCCCCGAAUGCUCUCUCCCUUGGGACCCUAGGGGAGACAACAGAACAUGUGGCAGAGGCCCUGCGGGGAGCCCCCUGCCUGCCCCCACGAUGGCCGGGGAAACGUGGCCUCCCACACGGUGUGCUCUGUGCUGGGAAGGGAUCCCAGAACACGGACCAGAGCACACCCUGGACAGAGGUUCGGUCCCCCGAAGGCCCUCGUUCCCCCUCCAUCCCUCAGGCAGAAGCUGGGGCCUGUGCCCCCUGGAAUCUUUUAGGGCAGAUGGUCUCCCUGAGGGAGGGCUGGGUGAGGGCCCCUAUGCCCCCCAUUCUCCCGGCUGGCUGGGGGGGGCCCCAGGCCGUGACCCACCAGGCCUGCCCCGUGUCCCCCCCUGCCAGGAGUGGGGGCAACCUUUUGGGCCUUGCAGGCAUCCACAGCUGGGCUGGACCUGGCCCAGGACGUUGGGGACACGGGCUCUGGCUCGGGCCUGCAGGCAGCCAGGAGUCCAGACUUACCGGAAUCCCAGGGUAGCCUGGCGGGCCGGGGGGGCCGGGCACACUGGAGCCGAAGAAUCCGCCACCCCCGGGCUCACCCCGUUCGCCCUUCUGCCCCGGGUCUCCUCUAUCACCCUUCUCCCCCUGUGGAUGGAAAUGCCGGUCUGAGACAGCCCGGCUCCCGCUGCUGACCUGGGAGGGGCAGGCCGACCCCCGGAAGCCCCGAGUGGGCAGGGUGAGGCAGCCGGAAGCUUCUGGAGCCCAGGAGGCCCGGCACACCCUGCGGGACAGGACUUGUCUCGCCACCUUCUGAGCCCCCAAGGAGCCCAGCCAGGGUGGGACAGGCGACGGGGACGCGGGUGACGCCCACCUUCAUUUCAGCCUCCAGCUGGAGGAGGUCGAGCGGGAACUGCCCUGUAGGAGAGACGGGGCGCCAAGGGGUGCAGCAGCACGACCGGACAGUAAGGCUGGUUCGCACCCGUGGCCUCACUGGUGAGGACACAGGAAGACGUGCGUCACCUCGUGAUGGGAGUUCCAGGACGCGUCUGGCGGCUCGGACGGUUCCCCGUGACGCCCGCCUGCCUCUGGCAGCCACAGGUCUGACCUCCUUUUGUAAUGGCACCUUUUUAGAAUUUCUUUUUGUUUAUUACCAGUUGAUUUUUGUGAAUCGCCCCUGUGACCUUGGUAAGUCUACCUAUUAAUUGCAACGGUAUGUUCUUUUGGGUGGUUGAUGUUCCCAAACCCGUCUGUACAAAUGGCAGGUACUUCUUCCUUCACAACCCUCCCCACCCUCCGGGGGCAGCGGCCACUACCCUGAGCACCAGCCACCCUGCAGCCCUAGCGAGGGUGGAGGCGGAGCAGCCCUUUGCCCCUCGCUCGCUCGCUCGCUCGCAGGGCUCCCUCCUUUCUCGGUCCUGCAGGGGGCGUGCCAGGAUUAGCGGUCUUUCCAAAAACUACCUUGACUUGCAAAUGGUUGUUCACUCAGCUCUGAGCUGUACCAUUUCUUCCCUUUUCUUUGCUUUUCUAUGUUAAUUUUACUUUAUUUUUUAACAUAAUUUCUCGUCAAGUUGACUAACAUACAGUGUGCACAGUGCGCUCCUGGUUUUGGGGGGGGUAGAUUCCCGUGACUCACCGCUUCUGUACAACCCAGUGCUCAUCCCAAACAGGGCCCUCCUCAGUGCCCAUCUCUUUUGUUAAAGGUAAAUUUGCUAUUUGUUUUCUGACUUCUUGAGCUGAGUGCUGAGAAACGUGUCCCGCUUGAGGCUGUGAGUUCCUGAACAGUUAACGGGACCCGUGGCCUGGGGCCCAGCUGGGCCGGCCGAUGGGUGCGUGGCCCCCAUCUGGGGGGCGGUCCUGCUGCCGCGGGGCCGCUGCGGCCACGGACUCGGCCGGGGCCUCACCACCUUCCACCUGCCGGUUGUGAGCGGUUCCUCCUUAUCUGGAAGGGAAGUGCGCUGCUCUGGGGUCAUCUUCCAGGCGUGUCUGUGACGCUGACUUCCUGCUCGCUUUCUGCCAGGCGAGGGCCCGUGUGGUGAAGACAGGGUCCCCGUGUUGCUGCCAGGGCCCCAGGGUCCCAGGGCCAGGUCGGGAACUCCGUCUCCUGCCUGAGCUGUUCUUUGUGUGCUGGUGCCGUCACUUCCUGAGAGCCGGCCAUACCCCCACGAGGACGGAUCUGUGUCGUCCUUCUCCUGUCGGUUGCUGCUCUUUACGUCUUGAAGCUAUGUUGUUAGAGGCACAGGAUUUGGAAUUGCUGUAUUUUUCUGGUGGGUUUACUCCUUUUUCACAAUGGACUCUUUUUUUUCGAGUUUCUGGCAAUGUUUCCUGCCUCAAGGUACACUCGUCUAAUUUCUCACACACAGAUAUUUGUACACACACACACACACACACAGGUGCAUUCACAGACGCAUGUAGACACACACCCAUGAAAGGUGCACAUUUACACACAGGUGCACAUGUGCACACACACAGGUACCUUCACAGAUGCACGCAGGUGCACACACACACAGGUGCAUUCACAGAUACACAGGCACACAAAGGCACACAUAUACAUAGGUACAUGUAUGUGCACAGGUGCACUCACACGUGCACACCCAAGAACACGGGCACGCUCACACAUACAGGUGCACAUGAGCACACAAGCACACAGGUGCACUCACAGAUGCACACACGCGCACACAGGGGCAUGCACACACACAGGUGCACGUUCACACACACAGGUGCACACACAGGUCCGUUCAUAGAUGCGGACGCAUGCACACGGGAGCACACACAGGUGCACAUUCAGACACAGGUGCACACACACAGGUGCACACAUGCACACACACAGGCUUGGUUUGCCUGCCCCUGUCCCGCAUUCAGCUUGUGUGUGUGUCUGUCCUCACAUUUGCAGUGUCCCUCGUAAGCAGCAUAUGGUUUUGUUUUUAUCCGACUGCCGACGUUUACCUUUAACGGAGCAUUCAGUGGGUUCCCGUUCAGUGCGCUUACGGACAGAUGUCAGUUUGAACCAACUAUGUUAAAUGUGCCUGGUUCCAUCUGCUCUGUGCUCCCUUUUCUCUCCUUUCGUGUCGUCUUCAGGGUCCGGUAAUUUUGGUGCCAUCCUCGCCGGGCAUGCUUAAGUUGCGUGGUCCUGGCCCGUCGUUGGCUCCACCCCCGGAAGCGGCGAGGUAUGUCCCGCUUCGGCCACGCUGAACGAGGGCAGCGGUUCGCUCCUGGGGGUCUCCCCUCCAGCAUCGCCUCCUUCUCGAAGGGCCCUUGCCAUCUGACCCGUCCCAUCAGGGCGGGUCCUCCGAUGGCCUCGCUCGGAAGGGGGUUUCCGCUGACGCACACAGGCCAUCUUUACGUCGUCCUGAGGCCUCUUCUCUGGCGUCUGUCUUCCGAGCGGAGGAGUGAGGUCCUGUUGGUCGGUGGAGCGAAGGGCUCCUUCGGCCUCAGAAAACCCUUCGCCGUGACGCCUCCAGCAGUGGAAGAAUUUGGCAGAGUCGUCCCACCGUCCCUGGAAGGAACCUGUGAGGUGCUAAGACUUCAGCCCCGGGGCAGUCGGGCCAAGGGAGGACUCCACGCAGCCAGUGGGAGCGGAGGGUGCCGGGGCCCAGCUCCGCCCUUCAGCCCCGCUGUCCUUGAAGCCCUGGGCCCUGAGGCUUUGGGCCAACUAGGGAUCAAACUGCCACAGGUGCCGUCGGGCUCCAUACGCCUGGAAGGGGUGUCCUUCCUCCAGGAGGGCACGGGUAACCACAGAGGACAGUGCCGGGGACCCACCCCAGCCCAGGGCCGCCUGGAGCACACUCACCUGGUGGUCCUGGUGGGCCCACUUCUCCUUUGUCACCCUUCGGUCCAGGAGGCCCCUGGUACCCUGGAGGGACGGAGACCCAGGAGUGCCCAUCAUUGAGCUGUGACAGGGCCCUUGGGCCAUGCCCCUGUGCCCUGCUCACCCCCAGCCCUUGUGAGUGCUGUGUGCACUAGCCUGGACGGGGGAGGAGCACCACCCGAGUUUGGGAGCCUUCAGAGCAAGAGCUUUUGUUGAGCAGAAGCACUUGGGGGUCCCACCCAAGGGGCUGCCCCUGAAGGCCACGCCACUCCCGCGGGGCGGGCGCGGGCUGACAGAGCAGGCCCAGGGCAGGGGGGCAGAUCUAAAUUCCGCACGCAAGUGGGUGUCUACUCAGUGUCCGGGGCUGUCCCCUGCGAGGCUGCCAGGACGGCUGUGCUGGGACGACCCAGGAGGCCCCGGGAGGGGCCUGUGAUCACUCUGGAGCAGGGGACAUGGGCCGAUGAGGCAUUCCUGCUUCCCCUGGAGCCCAGGCUCACAGGACGAAGUCCUGCGGCAUCCAGCAUCCCCAAGAGAAGCCGCCGCCCCAGCCACCGCGAGGCCCCAGGGGCCCUCACCUGGUAAUCCUGGAGGUCCAGGGCGGCCAGACUCCAUGAAGGCCUGCAAAGAAGCUGGCCGGACCACACGGCUCGAGGUUCAGGCUCCCAGAUGCAGAGAGCCCUCACUUCCCCAGGUGGGGUUUGUUUUCUACUGGAGUACUGGCCAGCCCCCUGCCAGAAAUUGGGGUGUCCCCUCCCUGGGAGAGGCUGACCCCUCCAGGGGGUGGCUGGUGGAUAGGGCCUGUGAGGAGGGGAGUGGGGGUACUUACGUUGCUGUCAUAGACGGGAGUCCCGGGAGGGCCUGGGGGUCCUGGAGGCCCCGGGGGACCGGGUGGGCCCUGCAUGGGGAGGACAGAACACGAGGUCGGUCACGUUCACAGCCAGGCCGUGGAUGUGACCAGGGCAGCAGAUGUGAGGGGGAAUAUUUCACUAAAUAUCUCACUAAAAUCAGAAAACUGAACGUGUGUGACAGCAUAUAAUCAGGAAGCAUCCAGUUUGGUUGUGGCUGUGGGGCCCCCAAGCACAGCUGCCCCUUUCAGAACGUGCCUCGGGGACGUGGAGAGGGCGACAGGACUGGCGGGGAGCACGGAGACUAACGCAGAGUCUGGGAGCUCAUCUGUGUAUUUCCACGUUCAAGGCAGAGCCCCGGGAGGCCCAGAGGCCAGCAGGCUGAGCCCAUGUGUGAACUUUCACUUACUUAUUCACAGAAAGAGAAGAGAGAGCCACCCAGGCGGGGUGCAAAGCACUCAUUCUGGCAGUGACCUGCUUACUGGACAAAGCACCAGCCUGUGCAACUCACGCUGCGUCAGGAGCGAGACCAGGGCCAGUGAGGUCGUGCGAACCUCAGGACCCGGCCCCGCCUGCCCUGCGGUCGCCUCCUUGCAGUGCCCCACUGAGGCCAAGGACAGAGGGACUGGAGGCAGCACAGAGGUGGGGUGUCGGGCCCCCAGAGGAGCCGCUGGAGGCGGAGCCCUGUCCCAGCAGACUCCGCGGGGCACACAUGCGCCCUUAGGUCAGAACUGACUCGCCGUCCGCCCUUAGGUCAGAAGUGCGGAAAGGAUCCCGGCGCCUGUCUUGCUUGUCGAGGCCCGCGACCCAUCUUUGUGUCACUACUUCGGAUCGCCGCGAGAUGUCACCUCCUGCCUCUUGAUUUUUCACGAGGCAGCAGCCACAUUUAGGCCACGGGAGGAAGGAGCCACGAUGAAGAACCAGCAGUGAUGGCAAAAGCAGAAAAGUGGGGACCGUCUGACACGCUGGCCUCGGGACCCCACGCCCCGGCCCGGGCCGUGGGAGCAAAGUCACCAAGUGCACCUGGCAGCUGGCUGGGUGCCCGGCCGCGGGAUCGGGAGCAGGUCCCGUGUCUGGAGGCCCCCUCUUAGGGAGAAACGGAUAAAAACACCCCGGCUACCAACAUAAACCCUGCUCAGAAGCCGGUGAGGCGCUGAGAGUCAGGCUGUGGUGCUGAGUGAGGGGCCCCACCGGGGGCAGGGGUCACGCCCGGGACCCACGCGGCCGUGCCCUUCCAGAAGAGCCACUCGGGGCCCCUGUCCCCGCAGCUCAGCCGGAGUGUGCGCGCACACGUGUGGGGUCCUCGUGUCAGAGGACCGGCCCGGUGUGGUCACGGCGCAGGGCCCUCCACGCCCCUGGGCGUCCCAGCCACGCCGUCCGCCCCUUGGGGGACACUCACCCUCACACCAAAGCCGACGCUGGCGUGUCCUGGCUCCCCUUUCUCGCCUUUCAGUCCGUUCAUCCCGGGGCGACCCUGGGGCAGGGCACAGGGGCGGUCACUGCCGGAGCUGGCUCACGCCAGCCUGGCCAGCUCUCGGUCCCCGCCCAGGGUCUCCUAGGGCGCCAGCCCCUCUGGCCCGAGCCGCCCACAAACGGGCUGGGCAGCCCUAGGCUUCGUCCUGGAGAAGCCGUCCCCAGGCGGGGUGGUCCCUGGGGGCAGGGCAGGGGGAGGAACUGUGGUCUGCGGCCCCCUAGGCCCCCAGGGGCCAGGCCCGAACGAGAUCCUGGGUCCUUACCGGCCGCCCAGGGAAGCCAAUCUCCCCUUUGUGCCCCGGCCGUCCAUAUGGACCCUGCGGGAAGGAGGAGCGCCUUUCAGGAGAGCAGAGGCCGGCACCUGCGGUGGCCUCCCGCCCGACACCUGCCUCCGUGUUCGCCAAGCACGCCGGGAUGUACGCUCGGGCCACCGCGCCCGCUCAGCGGCCAGGCCGUCACGGCACCUCGUGUUCUGUCACACCGCGCACGCGUGUUCGUGGUGGGAGGCGUGCGCCUACUCACCGGCGGUCCUCGGAAGCCGGGCUCUCCCUGAACCAGAAACCAGAAGGCGCCGUCAGAUGGCCGGCGGGGCAGUGCCCGAGGGGCUCCGACCGCGCCAGGGACGGAAGGAAACGGCAGAGGGAGCAUGCUCUAGACGGGGGUUUUUGUCCCCGGGGAGCACGGACGGGCCUGCCGUGGGGGCCCCCCCGACCUCGGGGCCGGCCUGAGUUCUCUGGGCCCUGAGAUCCAAGGUCCCACUGCCCGUCCCAGACAACCCUGGGAGACUUCAGGGCCCCUCCGGGCCUGUCCCCCACGGCCACUGAAUCUGGGUCCAAGUCCUCCCCACACCCUCUCAGGGCCUGUCUGGGGGUGGGGGCUGAGGGAGGAGGAGGGCCGGGACCCCUCCACGGUGGCAGCACCCAGAGGCAGAGGGGCAGCUGCAUCCUCAGGGAGGGGCGUCUGCAGGUGAGGCCCCUGCUGAGUCCCCCUCCUCCAGAGCCCCCGGCCCCUCGGCAGGGCGGGCUCGGCUGACAGGCAGGGGAUAACCAGGGGCCGGCCGGGUGGUGGCCAAGCCAGGCGUACGGGCUCUGACCCUCCCAGUGCGGCACUGAGAGAGGGACAGACAGGGAAGGGCGAGGGGCCCAGGCUACAGAAGUUUCCAGAGCCCUCUCAGGACACCCCCCCCCCCCCCGCCCCCGGCCUGGACAAAGGUGAGCAAUCCCAGGCACCGGGCUCACCUUGGCUCCUUUCUGGGCAGGGCCCAGCGUGCCGCCAUCGGGGCUGAAGACCGGGCCCGGCUCGCCCUUCUCGCCCUGGAACAGCGGGGGUGACGGCAUGAGGCCGGCUCUGGGGAAGGGAGGGCCCUCGACUCCCACAGGAAAGCCCCAACUCGGGGCAUGAACACCAACCCCGGAGCAGGUGCAUGGUGAGCGGGGUCCUCCCCUCCCUGGGCUCUGCCGUGGGGUGGUCUCUGCGGGGCCUCCAUGGGUCACGGGGAGGUGACCGUGAAGAGAACCGGCAUCAGACUUGGUCAGGGCUCUCGUGUCCCCAUCGCCCCCCCAGGGUCACAGAGCCGUUGGUGCCUGAGCCUCUCACCUUGGGUCCCGGGGGGCCCCGCUGGCCUUUGGAGCCCAGAUCUCCCUUUGGCCCAGCCGGUCCCUAUGAGGAGACAGGAAUGAGGGCCACGCGAGGGAUCCUGUCCCACCGCGGCCGCCUGGGCACACCUGCCUCCUCGUCCUGACCCACACCCCGAGACCCCGCCCUGGUCCCCGGGGGCUUCUGCGCAGGAGCCUGAAGGUUCCUCGGCUCUGCGGGCACCCUCCGGCACUGGGCUCACCAGGGGCUCGGGGCCGGUGCGAGGAGGGCCGAGGGGCGACUUACAGGAAAGCCUGCGUACCCCGGCCGGCCCUGCGGAAGAGAGGGGCCGGGUCAGCUCGGGGCGGGCGCGGAGCCGGCUGUGGCUCCCCCCUGGGACGGCGUGCACAUACCUCAGGUCCCGGCACGCCUGCCACCGCUCUCUGUCCAUGGGCCGGCGGAAACACAGGCCGGAGGAGGAAAAGGGAAAACACGUUAGAGUUAAAGCCCAGCUCGCCUCACGGGCCCAAGGAAACAGCACAGCAAUUAAUGCCCAAGAAAAACUGCUUUCACUCGCCGUCCUGGCUUUGGCCUCAGGUCCCUCAGAUCAGGCACUGGAGAAGCUUCCAGAGACCCCGGGGCCAGAGCGGACUGCCGGCAUCUGGGAACCCAGGGGGUUCUGAUGGGGCAGCUCAGAGGCUGAGGACACGAGGGUCUCAGUGGGAGAGGCCUUGCUCCAUUUAGAUUUUCUGCUAUAGAAUUUCCAUUUCUCUCCGGUCACCCACUCCCAUAACUUUUUUCUCAUUCAAAUAAUUUAAAAGUCUCACCAUAAUGAGACACCAUCGCUGGUCCAGAAUAGAACCAAGUGGAAACCCUGGAGUCUUUAGGGGGCACCCGAGGUGGGGGGGAGCCGACGUGGGGUCAGGGACCGGGCUGGCACCCGCCGUGGCCAGUGCCAGGGGGAGGGCCGGGCACAGCGCCUGCCCACCCACGCAGUGUUCUUACGUCCUGCUCCGACACGUAGACGACAGGUCCUGGGGGCCCGGGGGGUCCGGGGAGGCCAGGCUGCCCCACUCCAUCCCUCCCUGGGUCACCCUGGAAGAGAAAGCCGGUGUCUGACUCUCAGAUGGCUCGCGGGGGCCUCCAGAUUGUCCGGGCGGCCCUGGAAGGGACCCCAAGCCCACCCAGGGCUCGGAAGGGGUUCCUGGCGCCCACAAGGUGUGAGGAGGCGCCUGGGCUGGGGACGGCAGUGCUGAGGGCCCCACCUCCCGGCAGGGCAGGCUCCGAGCCAGCACCCCUCAAGGCUUGGCCACGCACGUGCCCGGCCCGCAGACUCCUAGCCCCACUCACUUUCUCUCCCUGGGUCCCUUUUUCUCCUUUGGGUCCCUGCAAAGAUGGAAACAGCGCAUCUCAAACAGAGCCUGAGCCCCCUUCCUGGAGACCCCACACCACCAGCAGCGGCUCUGAAUGGAGACGUAGAGAGUUCUUCCUGGGAAAGGGGGCUGAGCCAGGCAGGAAGCCCGGCGGGCAGCCUGGACCCCCGGCCCACGGAGCCGGGGUCUCUGAGCCCUGUGGGGUACAGAGCACUGGUCAGGACCCCGAGACCACACCGAGGUGUCAGCCUCAUCAGCCGCUCGGGUGGUCCGCUCCCCCACCCCAAGCGUUCCUAGUGGUCGUGCACCUGGGCUCCGGCUGUGCCCUCUCUGCCAGGGAGGCCGGGGAACCCGGGAGGUCCAUCGGCUCCGACUUCUCCCUGCACCCGACACAGGAGGAGACGAGCGUCAGCCCACCGCCCAGCAAAGCCUGGCGUCCGGGGAGGUGAGCAGGCCGGGGCUUCUGUGGGUCACCAGCUCACGCCCCUGGCAGCAACUUGGCCCAGUCGGCCUCCAGCCUCCUUAGGAGCCUCAAGGGGCAGAGGGGGAGGGGACUAUGGUUGGACAGACUCCUGUGGUUCCCAAGGUUUCCACCCUGGAGCCAGGAGGAAGCCUGUCCUGUGACCUGGGGCGGCGGGCAGGUGUCCUGGGGGUGGGUGUCCUCAGGACAGGCACGUCUUGCAGUCUGAGGAGUGGAGGCCGAGCCCAGACGGCACCAGGAAGAACCAGAGGGAGAGUGAGCCUGGGCCUGGCCUUGGAAGUCACUGCACGCGGACCUCCCCCCGAGUUACCAUGGUUCCAGGGGACCGGGGCUGUGCGGCUGAGGGGGCCCCUGCCUGCUCCCGACUGGGACGGGUCAAGAUCACGGAUUCUCUGACCCCGAGAAAAGACUCUUUCUUACCUUGGCGCCUGGUGGUCCGGCUAUUCCAGGGUCCCCCUAGAGCGGGUGAAGGGGCUCUGUGAGCGAGAGUGUGGCAGCCUGCCCCCACAGUGGUGGCGUCCAUGCUGCCUUCUCCUCCUCCAGGGCCAGCCCAGAGCGGAGGGUCCCAGGGACACCAGGCCAGCUGUGCAGGCAGCUAACACGUGCAGCCUAGACUGUUCUGGAAGCUGCCCCAUCAGUUUGCUCCAAGGAGCACUCCACCAGACGACUUCGUUUUAAGGAAGCAGCACACAGACCAGACGCGAGGGCAGGCGUGCCCGGUGCCUCCACAACCCGGAUCUGCAUCUUGUGUAACUGAAGCCUGCGUCGGAGCAGACAGAAUGCUGCCCUCUGGCCCGUACAGGGCACUGGCUGGCUCGGCUUUGCUGCGACCCCCGGGGGUCUCCGUCACCUCCGAAGUCACGGAACAGCCCCGCUGAUUCCUCCAGGGGUCAAGGGGCACUGGAUCUGUGUACCCGGGUCCAGGGCCCUACAAGCGGGGACAGGACCCCGGGCCCGAGACCUCGCUGCCACCCCCACCGGGUCCUCUCUGGUGCCCAGGCAGCUACCCGAUGCGGCCAAAGGCUAGGAUUUUUUAACACGUAAAAGGAAAAGCACGAAAUUAAACUAGCACAGCCGCUCUAGCUACUCAGGGAAAUAGUUUCUGCCCAAGAGAAAAUUCUCACUAACACCGCCCAGAAUAGAAACCUGUCCCCGCUGCUCACUCUCACCAGGCUGAGGGUCUGGGGCCGCGGCGGGCGCCGGCAGGAGGGUCCCCUGGGCAUCCACCGGCCAUGGCAGAGGCAGCGCCCCACCCCGGGACGUGUCCCCCACGUCUGGUCCAAGUCCAGGGCUCGCGGGGGUGUCGGCUGCUUCAGCCAAACCCAGGCCCAACUGGUGCAGACGUUAACAGCAGAACGAGGUGGGAUUUCACAGGAAGGCACCCAUCUUUGUUUAGUUACAAUUGCACUUAGGGCCAAAGUUUAUCGCUUGCCCCAGUUAGAGCCGUAACGAGAACUCAAGCACUGCUAUUUUCCAGAAAGAUCCAUCUUUUAGGGCUCAUUCUGCCCCACGUCCAUCUACCGGACCACCAACGGCACUUCCCCACAUGGGCGGUCCACUCCCUUCCAGAAGGCCUCCAGGGUGGACAGUGCCCAGGCAUCAGCGGCCUUGCUGGUCCCCACCGGCGGGCUGGUCCCAGGGGCAUCCCCUGCCCCGCGUGCACCUCCCCCCGAGAGCGGAUCAAGCCGGCAAGGGCAGUACCUGUGGCCCGCUGGCCCCGUGAGCAGUUGCCCAGAAGGGUCCCCCAGAGCCGUCCAUGUCCUCCUGCGGGCAGCACACGAGGGGGACAGUCGGGUCUGCGUGUCUUACAGGAAGAGAUCCCUCCCGGAGGCCAGCCGCUGGCCUGAGGGGGAGACUCAGCCACAGCUAAGCAGGGCGGGUUCCAAGGGCUGAGGUCGCCUGGAAGCGGCCAUUCUUGGUCCUGGCAUAAGAAGCGUCUGCCGGGUUGCAAGGACCCUGCUGGGGGGGGGGGCGCCCCGUUCAGCCCUCCUCUGAAUUUAGGGGAUUUUAUUUUUGGCCCGAGCACCAGCCGGGGGCCUGGCUGUCUCAUGGUGUUGCUUGGAGCAGUCUUUCCCCAGCACGCACAGGACAGGGGCCCUGGCAUGACCACCUGUGCAACUGGGUGGCUGCUCCCCCACUGCCCCCGGUUCCACCUUGUGGCACCAUCCAGGCGGGGCUCAGACACGGGGCCAGGGAGAGUGCUAGCCCGUGGGGGGCGCCCAGGGGGGCACGGGGCUGCAGACUCGGCUUUCUGGGGGACGGGAGCAACCGGUACUCACAAACCCCGCGGCAAGUCCUGGUCCUGGAGGCCCGGGGGGCCCGGGGGGCCCUGGUGGUCCAGCUGGUCCGGGGGCUCCUGCCAAGCCAGUCUCCCCAGGAGCGCCAGUGGGGCCAGGGUCCCCCUUGCUUCCCUGCACAGGUGGAGAGACAGAAGUCACUGCUUUCGGCCACCAGGGUGUCCACUAAACCCCGAGACAGCCACUGCAUGCCGUGCCCACCUGCUUUCCCUAUGUGCUUUUUACAAAUCUGGAAACCGGAGACAAACGGCAUUGCACAAAGCAAACCCAAUAGCCCCUGUUUUUCCUCUGACUCUAGGAAACGGUUUUAUCCACUUUAAAAACGACACUACCGAGGGAGACCCACAGGCCCACACACCGGAGAUACUCCUUCCAGGUCUGGUGCAAGGUGCGCACAGAGCACGCUGUCCCCCGCGGCGGAGGAGGGGGGUGGCGAGCUGUGGCAGGUGAGGGGGGGACCCCCGAAGCAGCGAUGGGGGAGCAGGAGGGCCCCUGAGAGUGACCGAGGGGGGCCCAAGGACUGAGGAGGCCCGAGGGUCCUGGACGCCAGCUUGUGAGCAGGGCAGGGAGGUGGGGACUUGACACAGGGAGGCCCCCGGGCAGAGGGCUGGGCUCCGUGCAGGCUCAGCCCGGAGGCCGGGAUCACCACCUGGCCCGGCCCCACCCAAGGCCACCUAACCUCAUCUGCAGAUGGAGGGACCACAGUCUCCUGCCUGUGAGGGGCACAGGCGCCCCUGGCCCACAGCAGGGCGUGUUACCCACGCACGCAAGCCCACCGGAAGGCCCCGGGCAGCGCUGACCACGGCCUCUCCCCAGGGGGCCUCCCCGGCCAGUUCCACUGCCUCCUCCGGCCCCUUGAGUGGGCUGGGGUCCCCUCACCGCUUCCCAUAGGCAUCGGAUGCUGUCCUACGGGGGUUGGGCCCCGGCCCUCCGUGAGCUGCCCCUGAGGCUGGUGUUAACCCCUUUACGGUCUAUUUAACAGAUAGUCAGCAGUUUUGACUUAUUGUCACCCACUUUAUCCACGGGCUCAUUUUAAUAGGAUCUUAUGUUUUACUUUCUGGGUUUUAAUACUAGUGCCUUUUUAUUAUAUCUAAACAACUCAUCUAAUGGUCAAUCUUUGAAAGGCUUCUACGUAAAUAUUUGUGCCUAGAAAACUCCA